rnacentral:sRNA from 1 species
GUCACAGGAAGGUGUUGCGUGAUAACA